AGUUUUAAGUGAAAUAGAAAUGUAAUUUAUGAAAAUAUUAAAACAGAAAACAAAUAAAUCAAGAAUUAAAAAUGUCCUUGAUUUUCGUCAGAAUCAAUUUAUGAUGGAGAUGUCAGAACAAAACCCAGUCAUAAGUCAAGGAUUACCUGUAUACAGGAUGAUUCAAAUUAUCACUGUUUGGAAUGGUCUGGAGAAACAGGUCAUGGAUGUAACAGCUCCGAAUUUGGAGGGUAUAUAUUUCGGACCAUGGGAGGAUGAUCUGUGCGGUGAGGCUUGUAGUUCCAAAAAUGGCUAAUAGGUGAAAAUGUGAUGCUGUGAGCUGUACUGGAUAACAAAAUAUGCAUAAUGCACAUAUACCUGACAUGAGGCUCUUUCAUGAAAAGGAAUAUGAACCUUGUCAGAGCAUUAUUUGACAAAUGCAAUGGUUGUUAUGUUGCCAGGAUGUGCAUUGCUCUUAAAAUUGUUUUACCAAAACAGCAAAAUUGUCAAUAAAGUACUUUGCUUGUAUAAGAGACAGAAAUCAUUUGUGUAUGAGUCCACUAACAUCCUCUACUUUGCAGCAAAUGAUUCAUUGAUUUGAGGUGACAGGAAGCUUUGCAGUUCAAGCAGGAUGAGGAUGAAAUAAUAGAUACUACAGGUGACUCUGAAGAUGUUGCAACCAUUGUUGUUGAGCAGUCCAAUGAGAAUGAUGAAACCCUGCAACAUAUCCCGGUGGUGUGCUGCAGUUGUGGAGCAGGUCUUUGGAAU
rnacentral:lncRNA from 1 species